AACGAACGCUGGCGGCAUGCCUAACACAUGCAAGUCGAACGAGACCUUCGGGUCUAGUGGCGCACGGGUGCGUAACGCGUGGGAACCUGCCCUUAGGUUCGGAAUAACUCCCCGAAAGGGGUGCUAAUACCGGAUAAUGUCUUCGGACCAAAGAUUUAUCGCCUUUGGAUGGGCCCGCGUUGGAUUAGCUAGUUGGUAGGGUAAAAGCCUACCAAGGCGACGAUCCAUAGCUGGUCUGAGAGGAUGAUCAGCCACACUGGGACUGAGACACGGCCCAGCCUCCGAGGGGAGGCAGAGGGGGGGAUUAUGGAAAAGGGGGCAAAGCCGGGACCAAGAAUGGCGGGGGGGGUAAGGAGGGCUUAGGGGUGGAAAACUUUUUUCCCCGGGAUGAAAAAGAACAGCCCGGGGAAAAAAGGCCCCGACAAACCCCGUC
rnacentral:rRNA from 1 species